rnacentral:SRP_RNA from 1 species
GCCGGGCGCGGUGGCGUGUGCCUGUAGUCUCAGCUACUUGGGAGGCUGACAUGGGAGGAUUGCUUGAGCCCAGGAGUUCUGGGCUGCAGUGUGCUCUGCCGAUCGGGUGUCCGCACUAAGUUCAGCAUCAAUAUGGUGACCUCCGGGGAGUGGGGAACCCACCAGGUUGCCUAAGGAGGGGUGAACCGACCCCGGUUGGAAACAGAGCAGGUCAAAACUCCCGUGCUGAUCAGUAGUGGGAUCGCGCCUGUGAAUAGCCACUGCACUCUAGCAUAGCGAGACCCCGUCUCU